AAUACAAAAAAAUCACAUAUUUUUAUAAUCUAAAUCAGUCAUAUGGUUAAAAAAGAUUUAUGUAAGAAUGUAUCUUCGGAAGCCAACAUUUUUUUUUUAUCACGACCAAUUGACACGUCCAGGGUCAAUUAUUCAAUCCAUGUUUAUUCUCAUUUGAAUUGUUUUACAUUUGUCAUAUCGGGGCCUUCAAAAGCUGACUGCGGUAUGGGCUUUUCUCAUUGUUGAAAGCCAUGCGGCUACCUACAGUUAUUAAUUUCUGAGUCAUGUGGUCUCUUGUGGAGAGUUGUCUUAAUUGCAAUGAUACCAUAUCUUCUAUUUUAUAUUAAAAACGAAACAGCUCAACAAACCUUUUUUUAGAUUAAAUUCAUUGCAGAUAACAGGCUAGGGGAGCAAAAAUACAGUGGCAAUUGAUAAUCACAAUACAUAAG
rnacentral:lncRNA from 1 species